ACAAUACAUGCAUUCGCACUUGGAUGGAAAGCAAGUCAAAUACAUGCAGCUUGUUUCAAAUAUGGCCAACCCUUCUGCUGCAGAAAACCGACUCGGUAAAGCAAUAAGACUCGUCAACCAAUCACAUGAAGAUAAGCGGGUGCUCUAGGAAUAGAUGUGCACGAUUUCUUCAACCCUUUCAUGGACCGAUUGACAUCCACAGAUAACACGUACGUACGAACAUUGGCUAUACAAAGAUGAUCAAUGGUCUAUAUCAUCGAGCCUUCAAGUGCAGUCCCUCCCAUCCCUGCGUGUGCC
rnacentral:lncRNA from 1 species